CUAACUUUGCUUCUCAGCCCCCAGGAGGGGGGCAGGGCUGCUGAGGGCUUGGCUAGUCCAGGCCCAAGCCCAGGGCUCCAAGGGCCUGAGUCAUACUGACAGUAAGAGGUGUGGGGAGCACACACAGGCUCCAUCUCCUUUUAUGUCCCUGGCUGGACAUUCCCAAGCCAGAGUCAGGAGCCGUGAGUGGGGCCAGCCAGGCUGUCUCUUAUUCUAACUUUCAGUGGCUUGAGGGAUCUGGUGGGGGUUCUGGAGGAAGGAGGCUGGGCUGAGGGGCAAGGGUGGAGCGCGAGUUCAGGGCCACUUUUUCAGCCAAUCUGCCAGAGGAGUGGACCAGCCACAGUCUGCUUCGUCCCUGAAGGGUUUUCCAUUCACUUUGAUGUGUGGCAGGCUCAGAAGAGGAAUUUGGUAAGAGGCUCAGGAUAACUCCUCAGAUGUGGCAGCAGGCUAUGGCUGUGGUUGCCCCAUGAUGCUGUGGGCAGCAAGGCAUCUGACUUCUCAGUGACUGACCUGGGUUUCAGGGAGACGAUAAACCUGUGCCUGUUUCCCGAACUCCUCUGCAGUCCCCUAACUUACUGUGCAUCUUGGGCCAUCCAGAUGGCCCUUCUCGUCUCUCCAGAUGCUGGAAGAUACUUCAGGUGCCCAGGGCCCACUUGUCCCAGUCACUGACCUUUGAUGGUCAGCUGGGUUUGCCCUAAAUGAAUAAAUACCUGCUGACUAUAAGUUCUAAUGUUAUCUUAGAAGGUUCAGAGAGUAACUGCCUCUAGGAGAAAAGAUGAUCUUCAAACAGAUAAAGUCAGACUAAGCCCCCUAGAAUUGAGAGGGCAGUGCCUAGCCUGUGACCCCUUGAUUUUAAAGAGGAGCUGGCAGGAGUUCCACCGGUGUGUGAGGGGGACAUUUCCAGAUAAGGCAACCCAAACUUCAUUUCAGCGUGCAACUUGCUUAUAUUUCUUCACGUGGGAUCACAGUCCCCACCCAUGGGUAGCCUACCCAAGGCAGUGUUGUUUUCCAGUCUUCUCAACAAAACAACCACUGAUGGUUCUGACAAGAGUAGACUUGUGUCUGCCUUAGGCAAGAUGGUGGCUUAAUACCAGCUCAGGCAGAUUUUUCUCAGUGAUUUUUGCUUCACAGUUCAUGGAUUAAUUGCUUCUCUUUAUUUCCGAUAUUAGACUCUAUCACUUGUCUUGGAGUUCAUUUCCUAUAUUCCACAGAAAAGUUAAGUUGUGCAGCAGAGUGUCUGGGGGGCAAGGAAUGGGUUGGGGUUUUCCCCUAUUCUUUCACUAUCCUGGGAUGCUGCCUCUCUCUGACCUGGACUGAGAUCUUGCUCUCUUCUCUCUCUGGGUCUCCCCCAGCAGUUCAGAACAAAGCUCCACGGGUCCCCACCUAGCAAAUCAGCCCAAGGAAGUGUUGGGUAUCUGUCUAGGAUAGGACAGUAACUUUCAUACAGUAUUUACCAAUCUACAAAGUCGCACAAUUUUAUAUUUUGCUUUCCUUAAUCUUUAUCAUUACCUUCACAUUUAACUCUAUUUAAUCCUCAAAACUCCUUGUGCAGGUAAUGCAUCACCCGUGGCCAUACUUUAUGGUAAGGGAGGUAUGAGGAAACAGAGCCUCAGUUCCUCCCUUGUGAGUACAGGGAGAGUAAUGGGCAAAGAGACAGGGCCUGAAACCAAACCCGGGAGUGUCUCCACCAGACCACACAACCCUCUCUCAGAGAUUCAGUUUUGCAAAGGACAGGCACGUACCUGGCCAUCUGAGGGGAAAAUUCCGCCUAAAUUUAUGGGCUGAUUAUCAGGUACUUACUGUGUACCAUGAACUGCUAAGCUCUUCGCACACAUCAUUUCCUAUGGUCCUCUGAACAGUCUUUAUGUGUUAGGUAUUUUUAUCACAUUAUCACACAUGUGGAAACUGAGCUUCAGGCAGUAGUGGGAAGUAGUUGUGAGUGUUAACAGCUCACUCAGUCACCAGUGACCCAAAAGCACAAUAAAAAUCAACACAGGAAGUGGGGUGGUGAAGGUUCUCAGUGCUGGAGCCAGCACCCACGCAUAGCUCCUCUCUCAUUAGGUAACAGGUAGGAGUCCUGCGGGGAGGAAAUGAGCUGCAGGUGCUGGGGAGGUACAUCAAGGUUGCCUCAAGGUUAUAGGGGCCUUGAGCGUGUCUGGGAAACUUCUGUCUGGGGCGGGCUCUGUGGCCAGGGUUAGAGAGGGAGUCAGGUGCCUGGAUCAGGUGUUUGCAUGCUGAGCACGGCUGAGCCCCAUCCAGAGGGGUGAUGUGAAGAUGGAGGGAGGUGGGAUUCAGGCUCUGCACUGGGAGCACCUUGUCCAGCAUGCACCCGUCCGCACAUUCAUCUACACGUGUAACUUGAGAACGUCUUCAAAGCAACAUACAUGCAUGCAUUUGAACCCAGUGCAGGCCAAGUCCAGCAGUCUCGAAGGUACACAGUGUAGGAAGUAUAUACCCAGUAUUCCUUUACAUGUCCUGUGUGUGAAUAUGCUGUGUAAACUGUGGAAAGAAAGCCAAGUUUUGUAGCAAAAGGCCUGGACUGGAGGCCCAGCAUUUCCAUUUUCCAACAAGUCUGCUUUUAGACCAGAUCUGCCUAGAUAUUCCAAGACACAUAAAAUACAGAAUGCCAAACAGGGCAUCCUUAGGAAAGUGGUUCUCAAACAUCCUGCCUCAGAGUCACCAGGAAGGCUUGUUAAAAAGAUGGCUGGGCCCUCCCUCAGGUUUUCUGAUUCCCGAGGUCUGGGAUGGGACCUGGGAAUUCGAAUUCCUAACAAGUGACCAGGUGAUGUUGAUGUUGCUGGCCUGGGACCCACACUUUGAGAACUGCUGCCCUAGGCUACAUGGCAUAGGCACCUGGAGAUGGCUGGCCUUGACACAGCCCAACCCACCCAGCACGGCUCUCAGCCUCUCCACACAAACACUGCCAUGGCUAAGGCUUCUCUAGAACAACUCACCUCACACAGUAGGAACCACAACCCACAGUUGGUUUCCCCCAGAGCACUGGCUUCCCUGGGCCCCAAGCUGGCACUGCUGAAAUUUAGGUCAUGGCUCCCAUCUCUGGCCCCUUUCUUGUCCAUCUCGGCCUCCACAAGAACUUGUGAAGCUUAAGUCCUGCUGGUUAACCCUUCAGCACACUGUGUAACCCAGUCACUUUGACCAUGGCCCAUAGUAUGAAAUAUGUCUUAUAUCACAGACUUGUUGGCAUGUGUACACACACACAUGUUUCCCAAAUGAUACUUAUUCUUUACUUAUUCUUAGUAUGUGUGACACACUCAUAUUUUCUACCCUUCCUUUCUUCCUCCCCACCUCCCUCUGGGUCUCUUGCCUCUGUCUCUGCUUCUCUCUCAGUCUGUUAGUCUAUCUCUCCUUGUUCCUUUUUUUCUUCAGUGGAACUCAAUCUACCAAAUUGCUUUAAUGCAUCCACAAGUUAAGUACACUCCCUGGGUAUAGAAAUUACAAAUAAAACUUCUCUGAGCCUAACUUCCUAAUCUGUAUGCUUAUGAAGUGCCUGUACUGCCAAUCUUGCUACUAUUUAUCUUGAAUGAUAUCAUGAUUCAU